GCGGAGCGGGGAGGAGAACCCACGUCCUCCGACUCCCGAGCCCGGCCGGGCUCUUGCCACUGAGCCACCGCAGCCAAGCCCGGAGAAACCCCGCAACCGCGCCGCGCCGCUCAUCUUCGCCAACGGGCCCCGCGUAACCAUACCGGCUAGAAAGUCGACCCCAGGUCCCCGAGCUUUAAGCAUCCCCCGUUCACAAGAUCUCAUUUCUUCUCUUUCUGGGCUUUCCUCUGCUCAUUCUCUAUCGCUGUUAAAUCAAGGCGGAAUUUGAUCUGACCUAGGAAGCUUUCGCGCUAAACUGUGGUUAAUUCCCCAAGUCCGUGGUAGACCGGGAAGGAAAGACUAACUAACCCAACCCCACCGGCGCGCAGAAACGAGAUACUACGCAUAGAGAAACCCUGAAAGAUAUGAUGAUGAUUAGGUGCGUGUGCGAACCUAUAUGCACAUCGAUUUGCAAGGUGUACGGUCCUAAAUAGCUGUCAAAAUAUUCUCCUUUAAAUGGUAGAAAAUCUGCUUCCCCCAGAGCCGAAUUCCCUAUUUCCCAUCAGCGACCCGAUGACUCGUAGGAUCUGAUUGAUCGACGCGUGGUCUCUUCCAAAAUCGCGACUACAGCGUUCCAGGAGGUUUUCCAGAAACCGGAAGACACCGAGGCUCCGGAUAACUCCUCGACUAAAGUUAAACCAUGUUUUCAUGAGAAUCGGACUGAGAUGUCUUUGCAACGGACAAUUUAUUCUCAAGUUGGAGAAAAAGGAAAGUGUUUAUCCCCCAACAAGUUAUUUUGGUUAAUUAACUUUCACUGCUGUCUUUCAUCUGUUAUAUAGCGAGGGUCCGAAGCAGUCCUACAGAGGAUUCUGUCCCGCAGAGGGGUUGUUGGAGCUAUGGUGAUAAGGGCAGAUGCUAAGGAAUAUCUUCUUGCCAUUCUUCAGGAUCCAUAUGAAUAGACCUUCUGCAGUAUUGAUCUUGCAUUCAUGAAACUAUACUUUGAAAAAGGCUCAGGUUUUCAUUGUGGGCCUUACUGUUACUGAAUUUACCAGUAUAUUGAGCUUGUUUUUACUAAAACACUCUCUAGCACAGCUUCUUAGAUUUUGUUUCUGGUUGUAUUUUAGAACUGUGCUUUAGCAAGAUAUCAUACACAGAUCAAAAUCUGAUGUGAGUCCCCAAGCUUAAUGACUAAUGUAAUAAAAACGAAUCUGUGCAAGAUGCUCCCCGAA